GGGAGAUAGCGAUACCCUUUCCUAAACUUGUGGGCACAAAAACUAGUUUGUGAAGGACCCAGAGAAACACAAAUAUCCGACGAGGCAAAAUCACGGACGAUUUUGCAAUCACUGCCGAACGCAUGUCUGGGUAAAAGAGGACGUCUGGUCACCCCACCAAAGGAGAUAUUUUAGUAAUCCUGUCGCUGCUAAGCUCCUUAUCUGCAUUCGUGUUGCAUAUAAACAACAAACCGAUUUGAUGUAGACAUAUAAGAAGGGGAGUCAACCAAAGGAGAUAUUUUUGUGUACAGGCAGAAGGCAUCACGGACUGGCAAGACAGCAGAGGUGCUACGGGUGAUCCUCGAGGUUUAUGACCUUCAGGAGGAAGAGGAGCCAGAUUUUGAUGAUGCUCCUGUUG
ensembl:lncRNA